GACGAACGCUGGCGGCGUGCUUAACACAUGCCAGUCGAACGGUGAAGGGGCCUGCUUUUGUGGGCCCUGGAUGAGUGGCGAACGGGUGAGUAACACGUGAGUAACCUGCCCCCUUCUUCUGGAUAACCGCAUGAAAGUGUGGCUAAUACGGGAUAUUCUGGGUCUGUCGCAUGAUGGGUCUGGGAAAGAUUGCGCCUUUGGGUGUUUUUGGUGGGGGAUGGGCUCGCGGCCUAUCAGCUUGUUGGUGGGGUGAUGGCCUACCAAGGCGGGGACGGGUAGCCGGGCUGAGAGGGUGGCCGGUCACACUGGGACUGAGACACGGCCCAGACUCCUACGGGAGGCAGCAGUGGGGAAUAUUGCACAAUGGGCGCAAGCCUGAUGCAGCGACGCCGCGUGAGGGAUGGAGGCCUUCGGGUUGUAAACCUCUUUCGCCAGUGAAGCAGGCCUGCUCCUUGUGGGUGGGUUGACGGUAGCUGGAUAAGAAGCGCCGGCUAACUACGUG
rnacentral:rRNA from 1 species